ACCACAUUUCCUCUCCAAGAACCUGGUCAACCACAUCACAGGGAAUCAGAGUUUCAGCGCCACUGUAGAAGAUGUGCAAGAUGAGGAGAUCACAAAAGUUCUACAUCAGGUCCUGAAAGCUGAAUCAGAGGAGUCUUUGCAUAAUCUUAUUUUG